AGGAAUAUUGGUCAAUGGGCGCAAGCCUGAACCAGCCAAGUAGCGUGAGGGAAGACUGCCCUAUGGGUUGUAAACCUCUUUUGUGCGGGGAUAAAGUGUAGGACGUGUCCCAUAUUGCAGGUACCGCACGAAUAAGGACCGGCUAAUUCCGUGCCAGCAGCCGCGGUAAUACGGAAGGUCCGGGCGUUAUCCGGAUUUAUUGGGUUUAAAGGGAGCGCAGGCCGUCCUUUAAGCGUGCUGUGAAAUGCCGCGGCUCAACCGUGGCACUGCAGCGCGAACUGGAGGACUUGAGUACGCACGAGGUAGGCGGAAUUCGUGGUGUAGCGGUGAAAUGCUUAGAUAUCACGAAGAACUCCGAUUGCGAAGGCAGCUUGCUGGACUGUAACUGACGCUGAUGCUCGAAAGUGUGGGUAUCAAACAGGAUUAGAUACCCUGGUAGUCCGCGCGGUAAACGAUGGAUGCCCGCCGUUGGGUUUUAGAAUUCAGCGGCCAAGCGAAAGCGUUAAGCAUCCCACCUGGGGAGUACGCCGGCAACGGUGAAACUCAAAGGAAUUGACGGGGGCCCGCACAAGCGGAGGAACAUGUGGUUUAAUUCGAUGAUACGCGAGGAACCUUACCCGGGCUUGAAUUGCAGGAGAACGAUCCAGAGAUGGUGAGGCCCUUCGGGGCUCCUGUGAAGGUGCUGCAUGGUUGUCGUCAGCUCGUGCCGUGAGGUGUCGGCUCAAGUGCCAUAACGAGCGCAACCCCUGUCCAUAGUUGCCAUCAGGUCGUGCUGGGCACUCUGUGGAGACUGCCGCCGUAAGGUGUGAGGAAGGUGGGGAUGACGUCAAAUCAGCACGGCCCUUACGUCCGGGGCUACACACGUGUUACAAUGGGGCAUACAGCGAGUUGGAUGUGCGCAAGUACGUCCGGAUCAAUAAAGUGCCUCUCAGUUCGGACUGGGGUCUGCAACCCGACCCCACGAAGCUGGAUUCGCUAGUAAUCGCGCAUCAGCCAUGGCGCGGUGAAUACGUUCCCG
rnacentral:rRNA from 1 species